ACGAACGCUGGCGGCGUGCCUAACACAUGCAAGUCGAGCGGAGACAGGGAGUAGCUUGCUACGAACUGUUUUAGCGGCGGACGGGUGAGUAACGCGUGAGUAACCUUUCCCAGACAGGGGAAUAACACACCGAAAGGUGUACUAAUACCGCAUAAGACCACGGGAUCACAUGGUUCUGGGGUAAAAGAAUUAUCGGUUUGGGGUGGGCUCGCGUCCGAUUAGGUAGUUGGUGAGGUAACGGCCCACCAAGCCGACGAUCGGUAGCCGACCUGAGAGGGUGAUCGGCCACAUUGGGACUGAGACACGGCCCAAACUCCUACGGGAGGCAGCAGUGGGGAAUAUUGGGCAAUGGAGGAAACUCUGACCCAGCAACGCCGCGUGGAGGAAGAAGGUUUUCGGAUCGUAAACUCCUGUCCUUGGAGACGAGUAGAAGACGGUAUCCAAGGAGGAAGCCCCGGCUAACUACGUGCCAGCAGCCGCGGUAAUACGUAGGGGGCAAGCGUUGUCCGGAAUAAUUGGGCGUAAAGGGCGCGUAGGCGGCUCGGUAAGUCUGGAGUGAAAGUCCUGCUUUUAAGGUGGGAAUUGCUUUGGAUACUGUCGGGCUUGAGUGCAGGAGAGGUUAGUGGAAUUCCCAGUGUAGCGGUGAAAUGCGUAGAGAUUGGGAGGAACACCAGUGGCGAAGGCGACUAACUGGACUGUAACUGACGCUGAGGCGCGAAAGUGUGGGGAGCAAACAGGAUUAGAUACCCUGGUAGUCCACGCCGUAAACGAUGUCGACUUGGAGGUUGUGCCCUUGAGGCGUGGCUUCCGGAGCUAACGCGUUAAGUCGACCGCCUGGGGAGUACGGCCGCAAGGUUGAAACUCAAAGGAAUUGACGGGGGCCCGCACAAGCAGCGGAGCAUGUGGUUUAAUUCGACGCAACGCGAAGAACCUUACCAGGUCUUGACAUCCACUUAAACUUACAGAGAUGUAAGGUGUGCUUGCACAAAGUGAGACAGGUGGUGCAUGGUUGUCGUCAGCUCGUGUCGUGAGAUGUUGGGUUAAGUCCCGCAACGAGCGCAACCCUUAUCUUCAGUUACUAACGCGUGAGGGUGAGGACUCUGAAGAGACUGCCGGGGACAACUCGGAGGAAGGUGGGGACGACGUCAAAUCAUCAUGCCCCUUAUGACCUGGGCUACACACGUGCUACAAUGGCCACGACAGAGAGAAGCGAAAUCGUAAGGUAGAGCGGAACUCAAAAAAGUGGUCCCAGUUCGGAUUGUGGGCUGCAACCCGCCCACAUGAAGUCGGAGUUGCUAGUAAUCGCGGAUCAGCAUGCCGCGGUGAAUACGUUCCCGGGCCUUGUACACACCGCCCGUCACACCAUGGGAGUUGGGAGUGCCCAAAGCCGGUGAGGCAACCGCAAGGAGCCAGCCGUCUAAGGCAAGACCAAUGACUGGGGUG
rnacentral:rRNA from 1 species